GACGAACGCUGGCGGCGUGCUUAACGCAUGCAAGUCGAACGGAAAGGCCCUGCUUUUGUUGGGUGCUCGAGUGGCGAACGGGUGAGUAACACGUGAGUAACCUGCCCUUGACUUUGGGAUAACUUCAGGAAACUGGGGCUAAUACCGGAUAUGAGCUCCUGCUGCAUGGUGGUGGUUGGAAAGUUUCGGCGGUUGGGGAUGGACUCGCGGCUUAUCAGCUUGUUGGUGUGGUAGUGGCUUACCAAGGCUUUGACGGGUAGCCGGCCUGAGAGGGUGACCGGCCACAGUGGGACUGAGAGACGGCCCAGACUCCUACGGGAGGCAGCAGGGGGGAAUAUUGCACAAUGGGCGGAAGCCUGAUGCAGAAACGCCGCGUGCGGGAUGACGGCCUUCGGGUUGUAAACAGCUGUCGAAGGUGACGAAGAGUGAGUGACGGUAAUGGGUAAAGAAGCACCGGCUAACUACGUG
rnacentral:rRNA from 1 species